UACGAAGGGGGCUAGCGUUGUUCGGAAUUACUGGGCGUAAAGCGCACGUAGGCGGAUAUUUAAGUCAGGGGUGAAAUCCUGGAGCUCAACUCCAGAACUGCCUUUGAUACUGAGAAGCUUGAGUCCGGGAGAGGUGAGUGGAACUGCGAGUGUAGAGGUGAAAUUCGUAGAUAUUCGCAAGAACACCAGUGGCGAAGGCGGCUCACUGGCCCGGUACUGACGCUGAGGUGCGAAAGCGUGGGGAGCAAACAGG
rnacentral:rRNA from 1 species